AUGGUCAAAGCCAUGUUCCUGCCAGCCUCAGGAGCUGCGUGUGGCCGGAGCAGGAUGGGGCCCGGGACAGGUCCAGAUGUGGGACUCGCCCAGUGCAGCGGCUCCGAGCUCCCGCACCCCCCUCUAGCGGCAAAUCCUAGAGGGUUUUGCCGCUGGGACAGGGGGCACAAGGGGACCCCUCGCCCUGAUCACCCCCACGUUGGGAUCCCUGGCCCCAGCCGGGUUAGGGACCACGUUACACGUGCCAGGAGGCUUCUGCCUGGCACAGGGCGGGCAGCGGGUGUCCCCGCACUGCUCCACGCCCCCCAACACCCGAUGAGGAGUCCGGGGAGAUGGCGGUGCUGGGCUCCUGCCGCAUGCUGGUGGGCAGCGAGGGGAGCGCAGCGCUGCACCCACACCCUGCCACCCCGACGGGGGCUCGCGGGGGGCUCCUUGCCCUCCGUGCCCCCGUCAGCAUCGUGCAGGGGCGCGAGGGCUGCAGCACGCAGGUGCUGCCAGGUGCAGAGCUGCAAAUCCCCGGGCCGGGAAUCGGCGCGGCAUCGCUCCCGGAAAUCCAGCCGGGGUCCACCCACUGCUUGUAGAGGAAAGUGCGGUGAAUCACCCGUGCGGGGAAGGAAAACGCAGCGAGCGUGGGCCUUCGGGGCCUCCCCGGGCAGGCCUGCUGCAGGAGGGGGGCAUGGAGGGAGCAGCCCCGGGGGGGUGGCCGAGCCCGUCCCAGCCGGCAGCAGCGCUCUGCUCCCCGCAGGGCAGCCCCACAGGCUGUUUGCCAGGCAGACAUCCCAGCCAGUGGCACUUGGAGAGAAACGUUUUUCUCUGGAAAAGAAAUGGUUCUGGGUCUGGGUUUGGUAUAACACGGACUGGGCUGCUGCGGCUGCCCAACGCGGGGGUGCAAAGCCCUUGGGAUGGCCUGCGGUGCUCCCCCUGGUCUGCCAGGGUCCUCUGAUAUCCCUCAACCCCGUGGGCUGUCUCUGGUACCCCACGGUGCAACGAACAGCAGGUGAGAAGAGAUCUGUGUGUCCACAAAGAGCCGUGCUAUCUUCCAGCCACAUCAGACUCUCAGGACAGACACCUCCUUACAGCAAGCGCUUGGCGCUGUGCCCGAGGGCUGCAGCAAGGGCAGGCGGUGCUGGGCUCGGACAGCAGCCGGGGGGCACUAGGGAUGGGGUCUGGGCUCCUUGGGACCCGCCGGUGAUGGGAAGGGCAGAUUGCAGGCACCUGCUGCCAGCUGAUAAAGGACGCUGCAGGCAGCCCCCCCCCCGCUGCUGUGCCCACGGAGAGCUGCCUCCCUCCCCGUGCUGUGCCCUGGGCUCCUCAGAAACCCUCCAGGAGCAGCAGAGCUCUCGAGCGGUUGCUUGCUGUACUGAGGCCCUCCAGGAGCUCCCACCUCGCUGCAGUUCUGUGUCCUGCUCCUGAUGACCUUCCCUGCUCUUGUAGGUGGACCUCUCCUCGCAUCCUGGGUGCCUGAUGCUCAAGUUGAAAUCUGUGCUGCAGUCUGAGCACGCUGAGAACACGUCUCCAUAUCCCACAUACAAGCCCAUGUUAGCAAGCUUGAGCUGAUGCAGCCUGAGCGUGUCUUUAGGGGAGCCCCGUGCCCCACCAGGUGCUGUCCCUGGCCAGCAGCAGGCCGUGGAAGUCCUGGUGCUUUCAUUUUUGUUACUGCUCCUCAGGGUAUCUGAGGUGUUUGCUUUCAGUGGGUUCAGUCUGAGUCAUCCUCCUGCCCUGCCCUGCUGACAGCAGGGGAUGGAAAUGCUCCCCUCGGUGCC
ensembl:lncRNA